GGUUAAGUGACUAAGCGUACACGGUGGAUGCCUAGGCAGUCAGAGGCGAUGAAGGGCGUGCUAAUCUGCGAAAAGUGUCGGUAAGGUGAUAUGAACCGUUAUAACCGGCAAUACCCGAAUGGGGAAACCCAGUGCAAUUCGUUGCACUAUCGUAUGGUGAAUACAUAGCCAUACGAGGCGAACCGGGGGAACUGAAACAUCUAAGUACCCCGAGGAAAAGAAAUCAACCGAGAUUCCCCCAGUAGCGGCGAGCGAACGGGGAACAGCCCAGAACCUGAAUCAGUUCUUGUGUUAGUGGAAGCGUCUGGAAAGUCGCGCAGCAAAGGGUGAUAGCCCCGUACACUAAAAUGCAUUAAUUGUGAGUUCGAUGAGUAGGGCGGGACACGUGACAUCCUGUCUGAAUAUGGGGGGACCAUCCUCCAAGGCUAAAUACUCCUGACUGACCGAUAGUGAACCAGUACCGUGAGGGAAAGGCGAAAAGAACCCCGGCGAGGGGAGUGAAAUAGAACCUGAAACCGUGUACGUACAAGCAGUGGGAGCACCUUCGUGGUGUGACUGCGUACCUUUUGUAUAAUGGGUCAGCGACUUAUAUUUUGUAGCAAGGUUAACCGUAUAGGGGAGCCGUAGGGAAACCGAGUCUUAACUGGGCGA
rnacentral:rRNA from 1 species